UACGUAGGGUGCGAGCGUUGUCCGGAUUUAUUGGGCGUAAAGGGCUCGUAGGCGGCGUGUCGCGUCGGGGAGUGAAAGCCCGUUGCUUAACGGCGGGUUGGCUUUCGGUACGGGCAUGCUGGAGUGCGGCAGGGGAGACUGGAAUUCCUGGUGUAGCGGUGGAAUGCGCAGAUAUCAGGAGGAACACCGGUGGCGAAGGCGGGUCUCUGGGCCGAUACUGACACUGAGGAGCGAAAGCGUGGGGAGCGAACAGG
rnacentral:rRNA from 1 species